AGAACGAACGCUGGCGGCAGGCCUAACACAUGCAAGUCGAACGCCGUAGCAAUACGGAGUGGCAGACGGGUGAGUAACACGUGGGAACAUACCCUUCGGUUCGGAAUAACUCAGGGAAACUUGAGCUAAUACCGGAUACGUCCGCGAGGAGAAAGAUUCAUCGCCGGAGGAUUGGCCCGCGUCUGAUUAGCUUGUUGGUGAGGUAAUGGCUCACCAAGGCGACGAUCAGUAGCUGGUCUGAGAGGAUGAUCAGCCACAUUGGGACUGAGACACGGCCCAGACUCCUACGGGGGGCAGCAGUGAGGAAUUUUCGUCAAUGGGGGAAACCCUGAACGAGCAACGCCGCGUGCAGGAAGACACUUUUCGGAUCGUAAACUACUUUUCUCGGGGACGAGUAAGGACGGUACCCGAGGAAUCAGCCCCGGCUAACUACGUGCCAGCAGCCGC
rnacentral:rRNA from 1 species